AGAGUUUGAUCCUGGCUCAGGACGAACGCUGGCGGUGUGCUUCACACAUGCAAAUCGAGCGAAUGAAGUAGGUAGCUUGCUACUUAUGGAUUUAGCGGCGGACGGGUGAGUAAUAUAUAGGAAUCUGCCUUAGAGCGGGGAACAACAGACCGAAAGGUUUGCUAAUGCCCCAUAGGUAUGCAGUCUUCGGAUUGUAUAUUAAAGGAGUAAUCCACUCUAAGAUGAGCCUGUAUCCGAUUAGCUAGUUGGCGGGGUAAAGGCCCACCAAGGCUACGAUCGGUAGUUGGUCUGAGAGGAUGAUCAGCCACAAUGGGACUGAGACACGGCCCAUACUCCUACGGGAGGCAGCAGUGGGGAAUUUUACACAAUGGGGGAAACCCUGAUGUAGCGACACCGCGUGAACGAAGAAGCCUUUUGGGGUGUAAAGUUCUGUCGGCUGGAACGAAAAAAAUGACGGUACCAGCAAAGGAAGCAUCGGCUAACUACGUGCCAGCAGCCGCGGUAAGACGUAGGAUGCAAGCGUUGUCCGGAUUUAUUGGGCGUAAAGAGUUCGUAGGCGGUUAUUUAAGUCUGAUGUUAAAUACUGUGGCCCAACCACAGAACUGCAUUGGAUACUGGAUGACUUGAGUGCGGUAGAGGCAAGUGGAAUUCCCAGUGUAGCGGUGAAAUGCGUAGA
rnacentral:rRNA from 1 species